CUCCUCCUCACGUCGCCCCCUGACGGGAAAAUGCUGCCUCUUCCAGCACAACGCCAGCCAGGCGAGGACGAAAGGGAGGCAGCCAGCAGCAAGCGGGCGACGAUCAAGCACUUGAGAAAGCUCCGGCUGUCCACUCAGUGAACUCAUGGCAAAUCCUCGAACAGACUUGUGCUGCCCUUCAGUGUUAUUUGCUCUGUUAAACCCACAGAGCCUAGGGCUUGCCGAUCAGAAGUGCGGUGGUUUGAAUCCCUGAGACGCGAGAUGGAAGAAGGAGGAAAUUUGUAGCUUGCCCAAAAGGAAACUGGCUUUUCUUUUCACAUUCAGAGUAACUUAAAUGAAAAAUAUGUUGCUGUACAAACAUUCUGGCACAUUAAAUUCUUGGACUUUACCCAGGUGCGGUGUUAUUUUGCCCCUUUGCAAAUAAUAGUGCAAGUUGACAUGCUGCUUCCUGAACAGCUUUCCAUUGCAGGGCAAAUAGGUGUGGGAUGGUUUGGAGGAGUAGCUUCAAGGAAAUGUUGUUCAAAGUAAAUGGUUCUGUUGCAGAAGUGAUCCUUGGCUAUAUACGUGCAGUUCCCUUCUGGAAUGUAAUCACUAUUUCCAGAGAAUGUGAAUGCCCUAAGAAUCAACUGCAUUCAGAGACCUAGGCUGUUCCUCCUGCUGCUUUUACAAUCACUCUGUUUCCAGAAUCUCUUGUAUGCAUAACAACUACCAAACUCCAAAUUGUUUUGGUCCAAAAUGAGGAAUUAACUUGUAGUGACAUUUAUCACUAAGCAAUUCCAGCUCAAGAUUUUAUUUUUUCUCUGCUUGGAGACUAUGUCAAUGAAAGAAAAAUGUGUAUUCUGUCUUCCUGUGAAAGCAACAGUCAGUUGUGUUUUCCUGCAAAUACAUAUACUGGGGAAGCCAAAGCACACUGGGCUGUUUAUGGGGGCUCAUCCACGCUUAUCUUGCUCCACAUUUCUAGGCACAGGUCUGGGCUUUGCAGGCCAUU